GGGACAUCUCAGUGGGCAUGGUGGGGAUGGGUUGGGGUUGGACUAGAUGAUCGUAAUGGUCUUUUCCAACCUUGAUGAUUCU
rnacentral:miRNA from 7 species